rnacentral:lncRNA from 1 species
UGGAUUGAAUGCAGAGCCGCAGCCAUCUAAAAGGAGGAUUUGGGGGGAGCAUGGAGUAGAAAAUGAGGAAGGGGCAGGAUAUGACAGGGGAGACAAUAAAAAGGUCAACACAGCUCCCACCUCGAAGCAGCUGCCAGUUUAUUACAUGAAGUGUCAGGCUGUGGACUGCAGGCAUGCCAUUUUGUCUUCAAGAACAGGAUUCCCGGGCACACGAAUGAUUCCAGGGUUCCUCCAGCA